rnacentral:rRNA from 1 species
UACGGGGGGAGCAAGCGUUGUUCGGAUUUACUGGGCGUAAAGGGCGCGUAGGCGGCUUAACAAGUCACUUGUGAAAUCUCCGGGCUUAACUCGGAACGGCCAAGUGAAACUGUCAAGCUAGAGUGCGGAAGGGGCAAUCGGAAUUCUUGGUGUAGCGGUGAAAUGCGUAGAUAUCAAGAGGAACACCUGAGGUGAAGACGGGUUGCUGGGCCGACACUGACGCUGAUGCGCGAAAGCCAGGGGAGCAAACGGG